GUGAGAUGUCGUUCAGCCAAGGAGCAUGCGCACUGGGAGAUAUCGGGAAUGAAAUGGUCCUCCAUGAGAGCCACAAGCGGGCAUUCAACAACUUGAAAACUGGAUUGAAAAUGAGAGACAGAGCAGCCACUCCAGAAGCUUCCAAAAUCACUCUGCACCUUCUUGAACUGCUGCAAUCCACGUGGUGAAGUAGCUCCCAUGUUGCAGUUUGGAUGCGAACUUCCCUGGCUUGGCCAGAAUUUAUUGCCCAGAGGGCUAUCAAGUGUCAGCUGCAUUGCUGUACGGCUGGAGUCACACAGACCAAACCAGGGAAUUGGAAAGGGAGCAUUUACUGACAAGCUGCUCAACUCACACAUUGGAUCAAAAACUGCCAGGAACACUUAAUUCUCAGGAACUUUGAAUAUGGAAGGAACAAGUGUCAUUCACAGUGAAGAGAAACCACACACGUGGUCUGUGUGGACAAGCCUUCAGUCAAUUGUCUGACCUGUCAGUACGUAAAUGCAGUCAAAACUGGGUGACAACCAUAACAUCAAACAGCUCUUGCUUUAUAAUAUCAUGGUCAUGGAUCUCAGUUUGAGUUAAGCAAGGGCCACUCAUCUCCUCUCAUCCCAACAUUCUUAGCGCAAACGUGGACCAAACAGCUGAAUUCCAAAUGUGAGAGGGACUAUCCACUAUCCUGAGGCUCCAUUUGACAGAGCAUUGCAUGAAGGAAUCAUAACAAAGCUAAAUUCAAUAGGAACCAGAGAAUAUUAUUCUUCCUUGGAUAGCUGGUUUUUGAAAAGAUUGCCUCUUCAGACCUCAGUAAAUCGAAACAAGGUGAAUUUAUUCAAACUUGUACCACAUACAUGUGGAAGAGGUCUGUCAGUUUAGCUCAGAGAUACUACGCUUUUACAGCUCAAAACAGCAUAUGCAGGCAUUUUCAUGUAAGAAUGGUUGCAUGUGACAUUGAUAUAAAAUAAAUUAUAUGCCACUUACUACAAAAACAGGAUGCUGUUCAGUUUCUGACAAAGUUCUGAGUCCUCUAAUUUCAACAGGACUUCCACUUCCAUACUAUCUUCAGAGCUUCUCUAUCCCACCAUCAGCUCACAGCUGGGUGAGCAAUACUUACGUGACUAUCUUAAGCUGUACAGAUAGUUUCAGAGCCCUAAGUAACUGUUGAUGGUUUACUGUUAUGGACCUGCAGUUAAACUGUCUGAGCCACAAUAACUCUGACCUGAUAUGGUUGUAUUUGACAGUUACCUUGUGCUGCACUGCUUGGACAAGUUUAUUUUCUACCUGUUCUGUGUUUUAAAGUUCUGCUCCUUUUCCUUCUCUGUUUCCAAUGUACAUUCUCCUAUCCUGCUUACCCUACUUCCCCUGGUUUGAUAAUACUGAAUACAGAAGAGGAGGCUUGUGAUUGUAGGACGGCAAUUGUCUCAGCUGCAGGAGUUCCUCAGGAUCAGGUUCUAUUCCCAACCACCUUCAGCUGUUUCAUCAAUGACCUUCCCUGCGCCAUAAGGUCAGAAGUGGGAAUGUUUGCUGCUGCUGGCACAAUACUUUAGCACUGUUUGUGGCUCCUUGGAUACUGAAGCAGUAGAUAUCUAAAUGCAGUAUGCCUGGACAACAUUGAAGUGAGCCUGCCAUGUGACAAAGAACAUUUGCACCAACAAGUACCUACAGAUAAUAACCAAAUCUGAGAAAUGAGAAUCUAACCACAGCCAAAUGACAUUCACUGGGUGUAUCUUUAUGGAAUUCCCCAUUAUCAUCAUCCUGGGGGCUAAUAUUGAUGAGAAACUGAAUUGGAACUAUCAGCUGAAUAAUGUGCCUGCAAAAUACGUCAAACCCUCUCAACCACCUGAUCUUCCUGUUCAACCACGUUCAGGGAUUUGUGAAUGUUCAUUCCAAGGUCUGUUUGUUCUUCUACACCACUCGCUAUUCCUCACUUUCAUAGUUCAGUCUCCCUCAAUUCAUCAUCACUCACUCCUGUGGAUUCAAUUCCUUUCACCAUUUUAUCUUUCCACUUGAUUGAUAACUCCCUGCAGUCCACGGUUUUCUUCGUCAUGGUCAACUACAUGAUUAUUUAAUCUAAAUUAUGGCUUCUACAACUAGGUUUUAAUGAUGGUUAUACAUCAGAAAGCAGUGGAACUCCACUGGAUUAAAAACUGAAAGGACUGCAAUUGCUGCAAAUCAGAAACAAAUUAAAAAACAGAAAAGACUGGAAAAGGUCAGUAGAACUGGCAGCAAAUGUGGAGAGAAAUCAGAGGUAACAUUUCAGGUCGAGUAACCCUCAGAAUUCCACUGGAAACAAGUGUCCAGGUAUGGUUCCUCCUUAGGUGGGGAUUCGCAGCAGCUAUAACAGCAGAGUGUAACUACAUGUGAAUUUGUGGGUGUCUCCGGAUUUUAUUUUUUGAAUAAUCCCUUCCCACACAUGGGACUGGUGAACAACCUCUCCCCAGUACACCUGAGUAAAUCAGUUUCCACCUCAGUGAGUAAUUGAAUCCUUCCCUCAGUCUGCACAGUUUGCUGGUUUCUCUGUGCUGUGGGUGUCCUUGUCUGAUUCCAGAUUGGGCAAUCAGGUGAACUCGAGUCAAUGCAGAGAGAAGGCCUUUUUUUUUCCGAGUUGUGAAUGUGUUUUUGUUCUUCCUUCUUCUCCCAUAGGAGGUGGGUAUUGCUGGUCAGGAGAGCAUUUGUUGUUCAUCCCUAAUUUAUCUUGAGCUGAUGUCAGACGGCAGAUAGGGAUCAACGAUGUUGUUGUGGGCCUCAAGUCACUUGUACGCCAGACCAGGCAAGGACUUCCCUUCCAAAGGGACAUGAAUGAAUGGGAUUUGGGAAAUUAAGGUCAUGGCCUCUGUUCCUGAAAUUCAGGUUUACUUUCCAGAUUUUAUACAUUGAAUUCAAACUCCAGCAGCUGCUGUGUCUCAGUCCCCAGGGAUUAUCACCACUGCACUGCUAUCUCUCUGCUGUGAUAAUGGGAACUGCAGAUGCUGGAGAAUCCAAGAUAAUGAAAUGUGAGGCUGGAUGAACAAAGCAUGUCCAGCAG